rnacentral:rRNA from 1 species
AAGUCGGAUGUGAAAUCCCCGGGCUCAACCUGGGAACUGCAUUCGAAACUGGCAGGCUAGAGUCUUGUAGAGGGGGGUAGAAUUCCAGGUGUAGCGGUGAAAUGCGUAGAGAUCUGGAGGAAUACCGGUGGCGAAGGCGGCCCCCUGGACAAAGACUGACGCUCAGGUGCGAAAGCGUGGGGAGCAAACAGGAUUAGAUACCCUGGUAGUCCACGCUGUAAACGAUGUCGAUUUGGAGGUUGUGCCCUUGAGGCGUGGCUUCCGGAGCUAACGCGUUAAAUCGACCGCCUGGGGAGUACGGCCGCAAGGUUAAAACUCAAAUGAAUUGACGGGGGCCCGCACAAGCGGUGGAGCAUGUGGUUUAAUUCGAUGCAACGCGAAGAACCUUACCUGGUCUUGACAUCCACAGAACUUUCCAGAGAUGCAUUGGUGCCUUCGGGAACUGUGAGACAGGUGCUGCAUGGCUGUCGUCAGCUCGUGUUGUGAAAUGUUGGGUUAAGUCCCGCAACGAGCGCAACCCUUAUCCUUUGUUGCCAGCGGUCCGGCCGGGAACUCAAAGGAGACUGCCAGUGAUAAACUGGAGGAAGGUGGGGAUGACGUCAGUCAUCAUGGCCCUUACGACCAGGGCUACACACGUGCUACAAUGGCAUAUACAAAGAGAAGCGACCUCGCGAGAGCAAGCGGACCUCAUAAAGUAUGUCGUAGUCCGGAUUGGAGUCUGCUACUCGACUCCAUGAAGUCGGAAUCGCUAGUCAUCGUAGAUCAGAAUGCUACGGUGAAUACGUUCCCGGGACUUGUACACACCGACCGUCACACCAUGGGGAGUGGGUUGCAUAAGAAGUACGUAGCU